GCCACGGUAGCCGAGCGGUUAGAGGCGUUAGACCUGUAAAGCUAAUAUGUAUUGUGGUACUGGGUUCGAUUCCCGGCCUUGGAU
rnacentral:tRNA from 1 species